AGAUUGAACGCUGGCGGCAUGCCUAACACAUGCAAGUCGAACGGGAGUAGCAAUACUCUAGUGGCGGACGGGUGAGGAAUACGUAGGAAUUUGCCCUUAAGUGGGGGAUAACCCCGGGGAAACCCGGAUUAAUACCGCAUGACCUCGAAAGAGCAAAGUGGGGGAUCGCAAGACCUCACGCUUUUGGAGAAGCCUACGUCGGAUUAGCUAGUUGUGAGGUAAUGGCUCACCAAGGCGACGAUCCGUAACUGGUCUGAGAGGAUGAUCAGCCACACUGGAACUGAGACACGGUCCAGACUCCUACGGAGG
rnacentral:rRNA from 1 species